GUCAUGGGGUGACCCUAAAGGUCACGGGGUGACCCUAAAGGUCACGAGUUGACCCCAAAGGUCACGGGUUGACCCCAAAAGUCACGGGGCGACCCCGUUGACCCCGCUGACCCCGCAGGAGGUCUUAAAGACUUUUUGGAGGUCCUUAAGGGUUUUUUUGGGGUCCAUUCAUGGACUUUUGGGGUUCUUAUGGGGCUUUGGGGGGAUUUUAAGGGAUUUUGGGUAUUCUUAAGGAUUUUUGAGGGUUCUUAAGGGUUUUUUUGGGAUCCGUUCAUAGGAUUUUGGGGGUAGUUUAUGGGUUUUGUGGGUUUUUAAGGGGAUUUAGGUGGUUUUUAAGGGAUUUUUUGUAUAUUAUGGGUUUUUGAGGGUUCUUAAGGGUUUUUUGGGAUCCAUUAAUGAACUUUUGGGAUUCUUAUGGGGAUUUUGGGGUAUAUUUAGGGGAUUUUAGGAUACAAAGGCGUUGGGCAACGUCAACGGGAUCGGUUGACCCCAAGGGGACUCCCUUGACCCUAUUGGGUCCUGGUUGACCCCAAAGGUCACGGGUUGACCCCAAAGGUCACGAGUUGACCCCAAAGGUCACGGGGCGACCCCAAAGGUCACGGGGCGACCCCGUUGACCCCGCUGACCCCGCAGGAGACGGCGUUCGCCAUGCUGGUGGAGGUGACGGAGCGCGCCAUGGCCCUGACCCGCGCCCCGGAGCUGCUGCUGGUGGGCGGGGUCGGCUGCAACCGGCGCCUCCAGGAGAUGCUGCAGGAGAUGUGCGACGCCCGCGGCGCCCGGCUCUGCGCCAGCGACGAGAGGUGGGGAUAAUUUUGGGGAGGAUUUGGGUUUUUUGGGGAUUUUGGGGGAUUUUUUGGGGAUUUUUUGGGGUGUUUUUAGGUUCUGCGUGGACAACGGGGCCAUGAUCGCCCAGGCCGGGUGGGAGAUGCUGCGGACGGGGCAGGUGACCGACAUCGCCCGCUCCGGGGUCACCCAAAGGUGGGGGCGUUUUGGGGGAUUUUGGGGACAUUUAGGG
rnacentral:lncRNA from 1 species